AUACGUAGGGUGCGAGCGUUAAUCGGAAUUACUGGGCGUAAAGCGUGCGCAGGUGGUUUUGUAAGUCAGAUGUGAAAUCCCCGGGCUUAACCUGGGAACUGCGUUUGAAACUGCAAGGCUAGAGUGUGGCAGAGGGGGGUGGAAUUCCGCGUGUAGCAGUGAAAUGCGUAGAGAUGUGGAGGAACACCGAUGGCGAAGGCAGCCCCCUGGGUCAACACUGACGCUCAGGCACGAAAGCAUGGGGAGCAAACAGGAUUAGAUACCCGAGUAGUCC
rnacentral:rRNA from 1 species